UACAGAGGUCCCAAGCGUUGUUCGGAUUCACUGGGCGUAAAGGGUGCGUAGGUGGCCAGGUAAGUUUGGUGUGAAAGCUCGGAGCUUAACUCCGAAAAGUCAUUGAAUACUAUCUGGCUGGAGGGUCGGAGGGAGACUGGAAUUCUCGGUGUAGCAGUGAAAUGCGUAGAUAUCAGGAGGAACACCGGUGGCGAAGGCGGGUCUCUGGGCCGAUACUGACGCUGAGGAGCGAAAGCGUGGGGAGCGAACAGGA
rnacentral:rRNA from 1 species